rnacentral:misc_RNA from 1 species
AAUAGCUCAACAGCCUAGAGUUGACCUGAAACCUGUUUACAAUCCACAGUUCAGCAGCAAGUUGAAACCCAAGUCUAGCACCCACGAAGAGAAAUGUUUCUACUUUAUUCCUCAGCGACACCGGAACAACGACCUCGAAACGAUUUGGUGCUGAGGUUCGCCGGAAAAGAAAGUUUUUGAAUUCCAAUACUUGGAGAGAGGUUUUCUGAUGAAAACCUGAGUGAUGUACGAAUUGAAGUAAUUGAAUACAGAUUUGGAAUGAAAUUGUGAUUUGGGGGAAAGGAUGAGAUGAAGAUUGAAGAAGGAAACGGUAAUACCCGGCUCGGUUCGAGAAGGUUCUUGGUGCGAAUUCCGUGUGGAAUUGUAGUGGCUUGGAUGAGAGUCGAUUAGGGUUACGAUUUCUGGUUCGAGCCUGUCAAAGAAGAAGAAGAAGA